UAAUAAUCCUAGCCUAAGUUUUAAAAACGCGGGGAAACCACUUUUUUGGGGUGAAUCGUUUUUCGUAGGUUAUGCCUUUACCGAACCCGUCAGCUAACCCCGUAGGUAAAAGGAGGAAAAUAA
rnacentral:sRNA from 2 species